UACGUAGGGUGCGAGCGUUGUCCGGAAUUAUUGGGCGUAAAGGGCUCGUAGGCGGUUUGUCACGUCGGGAGUGAAAACUCAGGGCUCAACCCUGAGCCUGCUUCCGAUACGGGCAGACUAGAGGUAUGCAGGGGAGAAUGGAAUUCCUGGUGUAGCGGUGAAAUGCGCAGAUAUCAGGCGGAACACCGGUGGCGAAGGCGGUUCUCUGGGCACUACCUGACGCUGAGGAGCGAAAGUGUGGGGCGCGAACAGG
rnacentral:rRNA from 1 species